rnacentral:rRNA from 1 species
GACGAACGCUGGCGGCGUGCUUAACACAUGCAAGUCGAACGAGAGCGUAGAGAAAGCUUGCUUUUUCUACAAUCUAGUGGCAAACGGGUGAGUAACGCGUAAACAACCUGCCCUACGGAUGGGGACAACAGCUGGAAACGGCUGCUAAUACCGAAUACGUUCCGAAAGUCGCAUGACUGUCGGAAGAAAGGAUGGCCUCUAUUUAUAAGCUAUCGCCGGAGGAGGGGUUUGCGUCUGAUUAGCUAGUUGGAGGGGUAACGGCCCACCAAGACGACGAUCAGUAGCCGGUCUGAGAGGAUGAACGGCCACAUUGGAACUGAGACACGGUCCAGACUCCUACGGGAGGCAGCAGUGGGGAAUCUUCCGCAAUGGGCGAAAGCCUGACGGAGCAACGCCGCGUGAGUGAAGACGGCCUUCGGGUUGUAAAG